ACCCAGCAACGCCGCGUGGAGGAUGAAGCCCUUCGGGGUGUAAACUCCUGUCAGGCGGGACGAAUCUUCCAUUCCUAAAUAGGGGAUGGGGUUGACGGUACCGCCAGAGGAAGCCCCGGCUAACUACGUGCCAGCAGCCGCGGUAAUACGUAGGGGGCAAGCGUUGUUCGGAAUUACUGGGCGUAAGGGCGUGUAGGUGGCCUUGCAAGUCAGGCGUGAAAUCCUCCGGCUUAACUGGAGAAGUGCGUUUGAUACUGCAAGGCUUGAGUGCGGGAGAGGAGAGUGGAAUUCCCGGUGGAGCGGUGAAAUGCGUAGAUAUCGGGAAGAACACCGGUGGCGAAGGCGGCUCUCUGGACCGCAACUGACACUGAGACGCGAAAGCUAGGGGAGCAAACGGGAUUAGAUACCCCGGUAGUCCUAGCCGUAAACGUUGGGCACUAGGUGUAGGAGGUAUCGACCCCUCCUGUGCCGCAGUUAACACAAUAAGUGCCCCGCCUGGGGAGUACGGCCGCAAGGCUGAAACUCAAAGGAAUUGACGGGGGCCCGCACAAGCGGUGGAGGAUGUGGUUCAAUUCGACGCAACGCGAAGAACCUUACCUGGGUUUGACAUGUACCGGAAGUCAGCAGAAAUGCUGGUGUCCUUCGGGAUCGGUACACAGGUGCUGCAUGGCUGUCGUCAGCUCGUGUCGUGAGAUGUUGGGUUAAGUCCCGCAACGAGCGCAACCCUCACCCUCAGUUGCCAUCGGUUCGGCCGGGCACUCGGAGGGAACUGCCCCGGACAACGGGGAGGAAGGUGGGGAUGACGUCAAGUCCUCAUGGCCUUUAUAUCCAGGGCUACACACGUCCUACAAUGGCCGGUACAAAGGGCUGCAAACCCGCGAGGGGGAGCCAAUCCCAGAAAACCGGUCUCAGUUCGGAUUGGAGUCUGCAACUCGACUCCAUGAAGUUGGAAUCGCUAGUAAUCGCGCAUCAGCAUGGCGCGGUGAAUACGUUCCCGGGCCUUGUACACACCGCCCGUCACACCACGAAAGCCUGUUGUACCUGAAGUCGCUGGGCUAACCCGCAAGGGAGGCAGGCGCCCGCGGUAUGGCCGGUGAUUGGGGUGAAGUCGUAACAAGGUAGCCGUAGGGGAACCUGUGGCUGGAUCACCUCCUUA
rnacentral:rRNA from 1 species